UACGUAGGGGGCAAGCGUUGUCCGGAAUUAUUGGGCGUAAAGAGCUCGUAGGCGGUUUGUUGCGUCGGCUGUGAAAUCCCGAGGCUCAACCUCGGGUCUGCAGUCGAUACGAGCAAACUAGAGUGUUGCAGGGGAGACUGGAAUUCCUGGUGUAGCGGUGAAAUGCGCAGAUAUCAGGAGGAACACCGGUGGCGAAGGCGGGUCUCUGGGCAACAACUGACGCUGAGGAGCGAAAGCGUGGGGAGCGAACAGG
rnacentral:rRNA from 1 species